rnacentral:rRNA from 1 species
GUGAUAAUUGAAUUUAACGGCCGCGGUAGCAUGACCGUGCUAAGGUAGCAUAAUCAUUUGUCCUUUAAUUGAGGACUGGUAUAAACGGCUGCACAAGAAAUUGUCUGUCUCUACUAUAAAAUUUGAAAUUCACAUUUAAGUGAAAAGGCUUAAAUGGAAUAGGGGGACGAUAAGACCCUAUAAAUCUUUACAAUUAGGGCUUUAGUUAUUAGAAAGUAGUUAUGGAUCUAAAUCUAAGGUCUAAAUUGUUUUGUUGGGGCGACAGAAGCAUAAUAAGUAACUGCUUUGGUUUUCAUAUUAAUUGUUUUUAUUAUGGUUAGUUUAAAAGAUCCUCUUUUGGAGAUCAUAGACUAAGUUACUUUAGGGAUAACAGCGUAAUCUUUCUUGAGAGUUCAUAUCGAAAGAAGGGUUUGCGACCUCGAUGUUGAAUUAAAGAACCUUUAUGGUGUAGCCGC